AAUAGAUGAUGCCGUUAACUUUUUCUCACAUGUUUGACCAUUCAUCUUAUUCAAAAAAUUUACGUAAUUAUAAUUUAUUUUAUUAUAAGUUGUUUUAUCACUUAUAGUAUUUUAAGUGUGAUUUAUAUCUUAUACAUUUGCAUAAAUUUUUUAAAUAAGACGAAUGGUCAAACAUGUGAGAAAAAGUCAACAGCGUCAUCUAUU
rnacentral:pre_miRNA from 1 species